AGUUCUAAGUGAUCUAUAAUAAACAGGUUCUAGAUGAUCUAUAAUAAACAGGUUCUAGGUGAUCUAUAAUAAACAGGUUCUAGGCGAUCCGUAAUAAACAGGGUCUAGGCGAUCCGUUCUAGAUGAUC